rnacentral:sRNA from 1 species
GGGAGUAGCGGUGGCGCAAGCCGCGCGGAGCAGCGCAAUCUGGGUCGCUCCCUGCUUCGCCACCGCCUCCGGACCGAGCCAGCGGAGUCAGUGUCCUAGAGACCCUGUAACACCACAAAGCGGACGAAGGAGUCCAUGUUGGGGAACUUGGCGGCGGAGUGACUGGGACCUGGGAACCUGCUGUGGGGCCGCGGCCGGACCGAGCGCCUCGACCUCGGCCUGAGGAAACCCUUUUCCAAAGAGAAAUGAAGAAGAAAACUGAAUGUACCCUAAAUAUGGGAGAUAAGAAGUAUGAAGACAUGGAAGGUGAAGAAAACGGAGAUAAUACUAUUCCCACUGGUCUGUUGUACAGUGAGGCUGACAGAUGCCCAAUAUGUCUUAAUUGUCUAAUAGAAAAGGAAGUUGGUUUUCCAGAAAGCUGUAAUCAUGUCUUCUGUAUGACUUGUAUUCUUAAAUGGGCAGAGGUAAGUCUGACACAUUAAUGUAUUUUAAUUUCCUAGCAUGAUUUCAUUUCACGUAAAGAGUUGAUACUGCCUUUCAUAAAUUAUUUCACAGUAAUGUAUUCCUACUUUGCACAAAUUUCCUUGUAUUAUUCAAAUUCUGUCAGUCAUUUUCUUCUAAUUUUCUUUUAUCAGCUUUUGAUUUUGCAAAUAACAUUUUAAAUGCAUACUCUUUUUUAAAAAGUUAAUAACCUUACAGGAAGAACAGAUCAAACAUUUUUUUUUCUGGUAGAAAUGCAGUAAUUCAUUUUUCAG